UACGGGAGGCAGCAGUGGGGAAUAUUGCACAAUGGGCGCAAGCCUGAUGCAGCCAUGCCGCGUGUAUGAAAAAGGCCUUCGGGUUGUAAAGUACUUUCAGUCGUGAGGAAGGUGUUAAGGUUAAUAACCUUAGCAAUUGACGUUAGCGACAGAAGAAGCACCGGCUAACUCCGUGCCAGCAGCCGCGGUAAUACGGAGGGUGCGAGCGUUAAUCGGAAUUACUGGGCGUAAAGGGCACGCAGGCGGUUAAUUAAGUUGGAUGUGAAAUCCCCGGGCUUAACCUGGGAAUGGCAUUCAAGACUGGUUAGCUAGAGUCUUGUAGAGGGGGUAGAAUUCCAUGUGUAGCGGUGAAAUGCGUAGAGAUGUGGAGGAAUACCGGUGGCGAAGGCGGCCCCUGGGACAAAGACUGACGCUCAUGUGCGAAAGCGUGGGGAGCAAACAGGGAUUAGAUAC
rnacentral:rRNA from 1 species